rnacentral:rRNA from 1 species
UGUUAGCAAGGGCCGGGUAAGACCGGUGCCAGCCGCCGCGGUAAUACCGGCGGCUCGAGUGGUGGCCGAUAUUAUUGAGUCUAAAGGGUCCGUAGCCGGCUUUGCAAGUCCCCUGGGAAAUCCAGCGGCUUAACCGUUGGGCUUCCAUGGGAUACUACAUUGCUUGGGACUGGGAGAGGUAGGAGGUACUCGGGGGGUAGGGGUGAAAUCCUGUAAUCCUCCGGGGACCACCGGUGGCGAAGGCGUCCUACCAGAACAGGUCCGACGGUGAGGGACGAAAGCUAGGGGCACGAACCGGAUUAGAUACCCGGGUAGUCCUAGCCGUAAACGAUGCCCGCUAGGUGUCACGACGGUCGUGAAUCGUCGUGGUGCCGUAGGGAAGCCGCGAAGCGGGCCACUUGGGAAGUACGACCGCAAGGUUGAAACUUAAAGGAAUUGGCGGGGGAGCACCACAGCGGGUGGAGCCUGCGGUUUAAUUGGAUUCAACGCCGGGAAGCUUACCGGGAUCGACAGUUGUAUGAAGGCCAGGCUGAAGACCUUGCCGGACUAGCUGAGAGGAGGUGCAUGGCC